rnacentral:lncRNA from 1 species
GUAAAUUCAUAAUAUAUCAUCAUGCACAUAUACCACUAGCAUCACAUGAUUUGUCAACAUACAUAUAGUCAUUAUCCAAAAUAGUCCAUACUUAGCAUCUCAUGCAUUCUUUUAGCACUUAAUUCAUUAUGCAUUACAUUUAGCAUAUUCUACAACAUGUCAUCAUACAUUCCUUUUAUGAUGUUCUUAUAAUGCUAACAUUCAUACGCCCUUUAUAUUAUGCAUUCAAAGCAUUAAUCAUAUGCAUUCAUCUAGCAUUUCUAUAGUAUGUUAACAUGCAUUCUUUUCACAUUCUUAUAUUAUGUCAAUAUGCAUCAAUAUGAAAUCUCAUUUCUUAGACAUAAAGGGCGACCUAGUCGCUUCGGUAAGCACAACCCACCUCAUUUCGCAUUCCGAUUGCUUGUCGACACUUGCAAUCGGCCGCCCGCGGCACCCGUAUCCAGCACGGCCCGAUACUGCAACUGCGCCUCAACCGUGCUCCGCUUCGCAGCCCCGAAAAUUAUAGGUCUUCGGUUAUGUGCCACGAUGCCUCAAAUCCAUUUCCACGAUUUUACAACGUCGCCUCGGCCCUCCCGGCGGACCCGAAGCCUAAACGUCCAUUUCUUUAAUAACUUUGUAACGGCUCGUCGGAUUGCCGAACCGUCUUCGCAAACGCGUUCAUUCACCUAGCAAUUUGGUUUACGGAGGGUCAAAUUAGAUCAAACCCUCAUAUUUACCAAAUUAGCAUUUUUGAGCCCUAGAUUACAACUAGGUAAAAAUUCACCAUUAGAACCUUGGUUUCAAGCAUCAAACCUCUAAUUAGCAUGCUAGAAUAACUCUAAAUCUAUUUUUGAAGCUUAAAAUCCAAACAACAAAGAGAUACCAUUAAAGGAUUUUGAAGCUUACCUUCAAACCUUGCUCCAAUGGAGAGGAAGAAGAUGGAGAAGAUGGAAAUCCACCUUAGAGCUUCGAUCUCCACCAAAAUCAUCUCUUUUUUGGAAGAGAUUUAUAGAGAGAAAGGAGAGCUUUCUCCUUUCCCUUCCAUGCGUGUAUGGUGUGCGUGUGUGUGUGCGGUUGUGGUGUGCACGGCUGAAGAGAAGAAGAGAAAAAGGGAUUAAAUCCCAUUUUACAAAUCAGCUCCUCAACACUGUACUAUUCACCUCGGGCAGCUUGAAAUCUGAUACGUUUCGUUGGAGCCUUUCUAAAUGUCCGAUAGAGCUCAAAUUUGACAAGCAUGCUCAGUUUAACGUACUGAGUAAGAAUAUGUCUUAAGUUUCCAGUUUUGACCCCGUUUGGUCACCGAAAACUGUAUCGAACUGUAAUCUUUAUCAGAUAGCUGUCAGAUUUUAUUUCUCACUCUACAGGUGUCAGAAAAAUAUGAAACUUAAAAUCUAGCCUCAUAAAAAUAUUUCUGACUUAUCCUCCAAUUUUUAUAAUUUUCUGAGACUGUGCAUUUUCUACUAAUUUAUCUGUCCCGUUUCCAACAGAAAAUUCUAGAUCUUCUGCUUUCAUUCCGAUUUCAGCACAAGUCACUUCUGACUUAUGUUUUACUUCUAUAAAUCCAAUAAAAAUAGUUUCUCACACUAUUUUUAUUUAUUUUUUUAUUUUUAUACCAAAAUCUGGUAUGUUACGCAUAAUCUGCAUUUAUUUAAUGUUGAGCAUACUCCUUG